CACUAUCCCAGUCCUUUCCCCUGUCACCGCUCCUUUUACCUUCAAUAAAACCUGUUCCUGGGAAGACAAAGAGACUCUGAGCCUCCUCCAUCCCUUUACUGAAACCUGCGACGCCUGGGAUUUACAGGGCCCGAGUUCAGGGGGCUCUGGAGGUUCAGCACUGGGACCAUCGUGCCCGUGCUGUUCCCCACUCUUGGUGCUGCCAUCGGCUGAGUGGUGUGGAGCUAGCUGCAAGCUUGGAAAGCUGUAGAGCUGCUAAAUUGCACAGGACACGGGUCUGACCUCCAGCUACUGAGGCAGGAGAGACUUUGGUCUGGAACAACUGGACAAGUGACAACAUUUAUAACACAAAUCAUUCUCAUCUUCACUGGCUUCUGGAUGAUUAACUGUGGAGGCUGAGGGUCAUGCUUGGAGAUCCCAGUAUGCAUUCCCUGCCCACAUUGCAUACCUUUAGGAAGUGCCUGCAUGAGAAGGGAGCAGGACUGAAGAACCAGAUCCAACCAGCCAAAGCUGCUCCAGUCCCCUCAGAGAAACCUGCUCUGUACCUGCUGUGUCUGGUGACCAGGAUGAGAAUCCUGCUGGUGUUCAAAUCUUCAGAAACACACUGAUCUUGUUUGAAAUCAUUCUCACCUCUUCAUAAAGUGAAUGGAAAAAUGGCAAUGGCCAAAAUACUCCUUUUUUUUCCCACAGUUUCUGCUCUGUUUUUCAUAGCUACAAACAGAGUAAAGGAAAACUGUUUCUAUGGGAAUAGAUGAAAAUUUGCUAAGAGAAAUUGUGUAUUUUUAGCAUUAUACCAGUGAUAUUGAUUGCCUAGCACUGAAAAAUAUU